AUUGAACGCUGGCGGUAUGCUUAACACAUGCAAGUCGAACGGUAACAGGCCUUCGGGCGCUGACGAGUGGCGGACGGUGAGUAACGCGUAGGAAUCUGCCUCAUAGUGGGGACAACGUGGGGAAACUCACGCUAAUACCGCAUACGCCCUACGGGGAAAGCGGGGAGUCUUCGGACCUCGCGGCUAAUGAGAUGAGCCUGCGUUAGAUUAGCUAGUUGGUAGGUAAAGGCCUACCAAGGCGACGAUCUAUAGCUGGUCUGAGAGGACGAUCAGCCACACUGGGACUGAGACACGGCCCAGACUCCUACGAGAGGCAGCAGUGGGGAAUAUUGGACAAUGGCGCAAGCCUGAUCCAGCAAUACCGCGUGUGUGAAGAAGGCCUUAGGGUUGUAAAG
rnacentral:rRNA from 1 species